UCUCAGAUACUGUGCCCAUUUUUGGAGA
rnacentral:piRNA from 1 species